rnacentral:rRNA from 1 species
CAGCAGCCACGGGAAUACAGAGGGUGCGAGCGUUAAUCGGAUUUACUGGGCGUAAAGCGUGCGUAGGCGGCUUCUUAAGUCGGAUGUGAAAUCCCUGAGCUUAACUUAGGAAUUGCAUUCGAUACUGGGAAGCUAGAGUAUGGGAGAGGAUGGUAGAAUUCCAGGUGUAGCGGUGAAAUGCGUAGAGAUCUGGAGGAAUACCGAUGGCGAAGGCAGCCAUCUGGCCUAAUACUGACGCUGAGGUACGAAGGCAUGGGGAGCAAACAGGAUUAGAUACCCCUGUAGUCCCUGUCUCUUAUAC